AGGACUAACGCUGGCGGCGUGCCUAACACAUGCAAGUCGAACGAAGUAGCAAUACUUAGUGGCAGACGGGUGAGUAACACGUAGUCAACCUGCCCUUCAAUGGGGGAUAACUAGCCGAAAGGUUAGCUAAUACCGCAUACGAUCUCUGAGUGGCAUCACUCGGCGAUGAAAGGAGUAAUCCGUUGAAGGAGGGGACUGCGUCCCAUUAGUUAGUUGGUGGGGUAAUGGCCUACCAAGACUCCGAUGGGUAGCUGGCUUGAGAGAGCGACCAGCCACACUGGAACUGAGACACGGUCCAGACUCCUACGGGAGGCAGCAGUGAGGAAUUUUCCGCAAUGGGGGAAACCCUGACGGAGCGACGCCGCGUGUGGGAAGAAGGCCUUCGGGUCGUAACCACUGUCGAGGGGGACGAUAUUGACGGUACCCCUGGAGGAAGCCCGGCUAACUACGCGCCAGCAGCCGC
rnacentral:rRNA from 1 species